rnacentral:ribozyme from 1 species
UUAGAUGAAGUAGAGGAUUUUAUGAAGCUUGCAUCUGGCCUGCUGAUAAACAUGGGCACAUUAAGCAGCGAUUGGCUUGCAAGCAA